AUAGGUAACAGUGGUAUCUCAUCACGGUUUAAAUUUAGAUCUGUUUUUCUUAAUGUUUAGUGAAAUUUAGUACCUUUUCAGAAGCGUAAUGGCCAUUUAGACAUUUCCAUUUGUGAAAUGUUGGAUUCAGUUAAGUCUUUUACCCUGUUAUAAAAGUUGGGUUGGUUUUUCCUAAUUCUCACUUUGUAGCCCUGGCUGUCCUGGAACACACUAUGUAGAAGAGUCUGUCCUGGAACACACUAUGUAGAAGAGUCUGUCCUGGAACACACAAUGUAGAAGAGUCUGUCCUGGAACACACAAUGUAGAAGAGUCUGUCCUGGAACACACUAUGUAGAAGAGUCUGUCCUGGAACACACUAUGUAGAAGAGUCUGUCCUGGAACACACUAUGUAGAAGAGUCUGUCCUGGACCUUGAGUGCUGGGAGUAAAGUUUCCUUAUUCUUCUGGGGCCUGAGACAACAAACUCAGAAGCCAUUGGAUUCAGUUGGCACCACCCUAGCUCCUCAGAGUUUAAACCUACCAAAAGAAAUCAGCCUUCUUCAAAGAAAUGGUUGGUUCCGGAUCUAAGACAGGGAAAUUAUAAGAUGAGCCUAAAAUAUCUUAAAGUGUUCAAAGAAUUAUAUCUAUUCUAUCAAAGGAGCAUAGAAACAAGCUGGAAGGAGCUCCCAUUGGCUAAAUCUGGGACAAUUUGAACAUGGAAAUAAAGAUAGUAACAGGGUAUAACACACUGCCUAAAACAGGGACCCAUAAAUGCAAUGACAUAAAUAAAUUAAUUAAUUCAAACAUAUUGCGAGGAAUGGAAUAUAGUCUCAAAGGGGGAAAACGAUUAAAAAAAAUCUUUACAACUGAGAAGCUAGCAGAAACCACCUUCAUCAAAUAAUAAGGUUAAAAUCAUCAGGCGAGAGACACAGAACUAAAUGCAAUGUGGAUUUCAUAUUGGUUUCCCAGGUGUGGGGAGGGGUAUUUCUGGCAUGACAGGUGAAAUUGGAAAAACAUAAAAAUACUUUGUAAGUUACUGAGAAGUAACAUAUCAACAUUAAUCUCCUUUGAAA